rnacentral:rRNA from 1 species
UACGUAGGGGGCAAGCGUUGUCCGGAUUUAUUGGGCGUAAAGAGCGUGUAGGCGGCCAGGUAGGUCCGCUGUGAAAACUCGAGGCUUAACCUCGAGAUGUCGGUGGAAACCAUCUGGCUAGAGUCCGGAAGAGGAGAGUGGCAUUCCCGGUGUAGCGGUGAAAUGCGCAGAUAUCGGGAAGAACACCCGUGGCUAAGGCGGCUCUCUAGUACGGUACUGACGCUGAGACGCGAAAGCGUGGGGAGCGAACAGG